AUGCAACGGAGGGCGGAGGCUCGCCGCCUAAAAAAAUUAAAAGGCGCCCGCCGGCACCACAGGGCCUCCCACUUCGGCCACCGCUGGCUGUCCACCGCACCAUCUACCGCCUGGAUGCGUCCACCUCUGACGUCGGUCGGCACCGCACACACCAGCUGCUCGAGCCCGCAGCCAUUGCGUCGACCUCACGCCGCCUCGCCCAGGGUUCCGCCUUCCUCACGGAUGCGGCAUCCGCGAUCCUGCAUUCCUGCUUCACCUCGGCUGCUUACAUCGAAGAUGAAGGCCGGCGCUACGCUGAAAGGGGCACGGGGAGCCGGCGGCAUGGUCGGAAGGACGGGCGAGGUCUUGCACCACCAGAAUAGCGUCAGCAGCAGAGCCCUACCACGGCCAGCAACCAGCUACUGCUCCACUGGCUCCUGCGCCCGGGCACGUCGCAAGAGAGAUGGAUCGGUUGAUAUUCACAUUCGUGAGCAUGGCGGCGGGAGAGGAAGCCGUCUACCACGACAACGACGGAGAUGA
rnacentral:rRNA from 1 species